UACGAAGGUGGCAAGCGUUGUUCGGAUUUACUGGGCGUACAGGGAGCGUAGGCGGUUGGAUAAGCCCUCCGUGAAAUCUCCAGGCUUAACCUGGAAAGUGCAGAGGGGACUGUUCAGCUAGAGGAUGGGAGAGGAGCGCGGAAUUCCCGGUGUAGCGGUGAAAUGCGUAGAGAUCGGGAGGAACACCAAUGGCGAAGGCAGCUCGCUGGGACGGUACUGACGCUGAGGCGCGAAAGCCAGGGGAGCGAACGGG
rnacentral:rRNA from 1 species